rnacentral:rRNA from 1 species
GUCGAGAAUCUUUCACAAUGGGGGCAACCCUGAUGGAGCGACGCAGCGUGGAGGAUAAGGUCUUCGGAUUGUAAACUCCUGUCAUGCGUGAACAAGGUUGCUUGGUUAAUACCUGGGCAAAUUGAUGGUAACGCAAGAGGAAGAGACGGCUAACUCUGUGCCAGCAGCCGCGGUAAUACAGAGGUCUCAAGCGUUGUUCGGAAUCACUGGGCGUAAAGGGUGCGUAGGUGGCGUGGUAAGUCAGAUGUGAAAGCCCGGGGCUCAACCUCGGAACUGCAUCCGAUACUGCCAUGCUAGAGUACUGGAGAGGUGACUAGAAUUCUCGGUGUAGCAGUGAAAUGCGUAGAUAUCGAGAGGAAUACCAAAGGCGUAGGCAGGUCACUGGACAGUUACUGACACUGAGGCACGAAGGCCAGGGGAGCGAACGGGAUUAGAAACCCGAGUAGUCC